rnacentral:lncRNA from 10 species
CUUACCUUAACUGAUGACAUUACCUUGUGAAAGUCCUUUUCCUGGCUCAUCCUGGCCCAAAAAGCACCCCCACUGAGCACCUUCACCCUUAGCGGCAAGUCCCGCUUUUGUGGGAGAGGGGCAAGUACCCCUCAACCCCUUCUCCUUCACCCUUAGCGGCAAGUCCUGCUUUUCUGGGGAAGGGGCAAGUACCCCUCAACCCCUUCUCCUUCACUCUUAGUGGCAAGUUCCGCUUUUCUAGAGGAGGGGCAAGUACCCCAACCUCAUAUCUCUGUGCCCCAAUCCCUUAUUUCCAUGCCCCAACCUAUCUCUGUGCCCCAAUCCCUUAUUUCUGCACCCCAACCUCUUAUCUCUGCACCCCAAUCCAUUUCCACGCCCCAACCUCUUAUCUCUGUGCCCCAAUCCCUUACUUCUGUGCC